CCUACGGGUGGCAGCAGUGGGGAAUAUUGCACAAUGGGGGAAACCCUGAUGCAGCGACGCCGCGUGAGUGAAGAAGUAUUUCGGUAUGUAAAGCUCUAUCAGCAGGGAAGAAACACACCCUCUGGGGUGACUGGCGGGACCUGGCGUAGAAGCCCCGGCUAAAGACGUGCCAGCAGCCGCGGUAAUACGUAGGGGGCAAGGGUUAUCCGGAGUUACUGGGUGUAAAGGGGGCGUUGGUGGCCCGGCAAGUCAGAUGUGAAAACCCGGGGCUCAACCCCGGCAGUGCAUUUGAAACUGGCUGGCUAGAGUGCGGGAGAGGUAAGUGGAAUUCCUAGUGUAGCGGUGAAAUGCAUAGAUAUUAGGAGGAACACCAGUGGCGAAGGCGGCUUACUGGACUGUAACUGACACUGAGGCUCGAAAGCGUGGGGAGCAAACAGGAUUAGAUACCCCAGUAGUC
rnacentral:rRNA from 1 species